CAAUAGCGUACAUUAAAGUUGUUGCAGUUAAAAAGCUCGUAGUUGGAUUUGUGGUGGUUCCUGUGGUCCGAUUUCGGUACUCUCGGGGACUGCCAUCUUUGGGUGGAUCCUGUGUGGCAUUAGGUUGUCGUGCAGGGGAUGCCCAUCGUUUACUGUGAAAAAAUUAGAGUGUUCAAAGCAGGCUUAUGCCGUUGAAUAUAUUAGCAUGGAAUAAUGAGAUAGGACCUUGGUACUAUUUUGUUGGUUUGCGCACCGAGGUAAUGAUUAAUAGGGACAGUUGUGGGUAUUCGUAUUCCAUUGUCAGAGGUGAAAUUCUUGGAUUUCUGGAAGACGAACUAAUGCGAAAGCAUUUACCAAGGAUGUUUUCAUUAA
rnacentral:rRNA from 1 species